rnacentral:tRNA from 1 species
GCCCGGAUGGUCUAGUGGUAUGUUUUCAUAUACUACGCCACUUUAAUUUCCCUACUAACAGUUGAAUCAGGUAUGAUUCUCGCUUUGGGUGCGAGAGGUCGCGCGUUCGACUCGCGCUUCGGGCC